GGGCUAGGGAAGAAGAGGGACCCAUGUCUUCGGAAAUACAAGGACUUCUGCAUCCAUGGAGAAUGCAAAUAUGUGAAGGAGCUCCGGGCUCCCUCCUGCAUGUAAGUCUGCCACCCGGGUUACCAUGGAGAGAGGUGUCAUGGGCUGAGCCUCCCAGUGGAAAAUCGCUUAUAUACCUAUGACCACACAACCAUCCUGGCCGUGGUGGCUGUGGUGCUGUCAUCUGUCUGUCUGCUGGUCAUCGUGGGGCUUCUCAUGUUUAGGUACCAUAGGAGAGGAGGUUAUGAUGUGGAAAAUGAAGAGAAAGUGAAGUUGGGCAUGACUAAUUCCCACUGAGAGAGACUUGUGCUCAAGGAAUCGGCUGGGGACUGCUACCUCUGAGAAGACACAAGGUGAUUUCAGACUGCAGAGGGGAAAGACUUCCAUCUAGUCACAAAGACUCCUUCGUCCCCAGUUGCCGUCUAGGAUUGGGCCUCCCAUAAUUGCUUUGCCAAAAUACCAGAGCCUUCAAGUGCCAAACAGAGUAUGUCCGAUGGUAUCUGGGUAAGAAGAAAGCAAAAGCAAGGGACCUUCAUGCCCUUCUGAUUCCCCUCCACCAAACCCCACUUCCCCUCAUAAGUUUGUUUAAACACUUAUCUUCUGGAUUAGAAUGCCGGUUAAAUUCCAUAUGCUCCAGGAUCUUUGACUGAAAAAAAAAAAGAAGAAGAAGAAGGAGAGCAAGAAGGAAAGAUUUGUGAACUGGAAGAAAGCAACAAAGAUUGAGAAGCCAUGUACUCAAGUACCACCAAGGGAUCUGCCAUUGGGACCCUCCAGUGCUGGAUUUGAUGAGUUAACUGUGAAAUACCACAAGCCUGAGAACUGAAUUUUGGGACUUCUACCCAGAUGGAAAAAUAACAACUAUUUUUGUUGUUGUUGUUUGUAAAUGCCUCUUAAAUUAUAUAUUUAUUUUAUUCUAUGUAUGUUAAUUUAUUUAGUUUUUAACAAUCUAACAAUAAUAUUUCAAGUGCCUAG
rnacentral:lncRNA from 1 species